rnacentral:rRNA from 1 species
AGAGUUUGAUCAUGGCUCAGAUUGAACGCUGGCGGCAGGCCUAACACAUGCAAGUCGAACGGUAACAGGAAGCAGCUUGCUGCUUUGCUGACGAGUGGCGGACGGGUGAGUAAUGUCUGGGAAGCUGCCUGAUGGAGGGGGAUAACUACUGGAAACGGUGGCUAAUACCGCAUAACGUCGCAAGACCAAAGAGGGGGACCUUCGGGCCUCUUGCCAUCAGAUGUGCCCAGAUGGGAUUAGCUUGUUGGUGAGGUAACGGCUCACCAAGGCGACGAUCCCUAGCUGGUCUGAGAGGAUGACCAGCCACACUGGAACUGAGACACGGUCCAGACUCCUACGGGAGGCAGCAGUGGGGAAUAUUGCACAAUGGGCGCAAGCCUGAUGCAGCCAUGCCGCGUGUAUGAAGAAGGCCUUCGGGUUGUAAAGUACUUUCAGCGGGGAGGAAGGUGUUGUGGUUAAUAACCACAGCAAUUGACGUUACCCGCAGAAGAAGCACCGGCUAACUCCGUGCCAGCAGCCGCGGUAAUACGGAGGGUGCAAGCGUUAAUCGGAAUUACUGGGCGUAAAGCGCACGCAGGCGGUCUGUCAAGUCGGAUGUGAAAUCCCCGGGCUCAACCUGGGAACUGCAUUCGAAACUGGCAGGCUUGAGUCUUGUAGAGGGGGGUAGAAUUCCAGGUGUAGCGGUGAAAUGCGUAGAGAUCUGGAGGAAUACCGGUGGCGAAGGCGGCCCCCUGGACAAAGACUGACGCUCAGGUGCGAAAGCGUGGGGAGCAAACAGGAUUAGAUACCCUGGUAGUCCACGCCGUAAACGAUGUCUACUUGGAGGUUGUGCCCUUGAGGCGUGGCUUCCGGAGCUAACGCGUUAAGUAGACCGCCUGGGGAGUACGGCCGCAAGGUUAAAACUCAAAUGAAUUGACGGGGGCCCGCACAAGCGGUGGAGCAUGUGGUUUAAUUCGAUGCAACGCGAAGAACCUUACCUGGUCUUGACAUCCACAGAACUUUCCAGAGAUGGAUUGGUGCCUUCGGGAACUGUGAGACAGGUGCUGCAUGGCUGUCGUCAGCUCGUGUUGUGAAAUGUUGGGUUAAGUCCCGCAACGAGCGCAACCCUUAUCCUUUGUUGCCAGCGGUCCGGCCGGGAACUCAAAGGAGACUGCCAGUGAUAAACUGGAGGAAGGUGGGGAUGACGUCAAGUCAUCAUGGCCCUUACGACCAGGGCUACACACGUGCUACAAUGGCGCAUACAAAGAGAAGCGACCUCGCGAGAGCAAGCGGACCUCAUAAAGUGCGUCGUAGUCCGGAUUGGAGUCUGCAACUCGACUCCAUGAAGUCGGAAUCGCUAGUAAUCGUGGAUCAGAAUGCCACGGUGAAUACGUUCCCGGGCCUUGUACACACCGCCCGUCACACCAUGGGAGUGGGUUGCAAAAGAAGUAGGUAGCUUAACCUUCGGGAGGGCGCUUACCACUUUGUGAUUCAUGACUGGGGUGAAGUCGUAACAAGGUAACCGUAGGGGAACCUGCGGUUGGAUCACCU